rnacentral:rRNA from 1 species
UUAAGCGACUAAGCGUACACGGUGGAUGCCCUGGCAGUCAGAGGCGAUGAAGGGCGUGCUAAUCUGCGAUAAGCGCCGGUAAGGUGAUAUGAACCGUUAUAACCGGCGAUACCCGAAUGGGGAAACCCAGUGUGACUCGUCACACUAUCAUUAACUGAAUCCAUAGGUUAAUGAGGCGAACCGGGGGAACUGAAACAUCUAAGUACCCCGAGGAAAAGAAAUCAACCGAGAUUCCCCCAGUAGCGGCGAGCGAACGGGGAGGAGCCCAGAGCCUGAAUCAGCAUGUGUGUUAGUGGAAGCGUCUGGAAAGGCGCGCGAUACAGGGUGACAGCCCCGUACACAAAAGCGCACGUGCUGUGAGCUCGAUGAGUAGGGCGGGACACGUGGUAUCCUGUCUGAAUAUGGGGGGACCAUCCUCCAAGGCUAAAUACUCCUGACUGACCGAUAGUGAACCAGUACCGUGAGGGAAAGGCGAAAAGAACCCCGGCGAGGGGAGUGAAAAAGAACCUGAAACCGUGUACGUACAAGCAGUGGGAGCACAGGUUUACCUGUGUGACUGCGUACCUUUUGUAUAAUGGGUCAGCGACUUAUAUUCUGUAGCAAGGUUAACCGUAUAGGGGAGCCGGAGGGAAACCGAGUCUUAAUUGGGCGUUAAGUUGCAGGGUAUAGACCCGAAACCCGGUGAUCUAGCCAUGGGCAGGUUGAAGGUUGGGUAACACUAACUGGAGGACCGAACCGACUAAUGUUGAAAAAUUAGCGGAUGACCUGUGGCUGGGGGUGAAAGGCCAAUCAAACCGGGAGAUAGCUGGUUCUCCCCGAAAGCUAUUUAGGUAGCGCCUCGUGAAUUCAUCUCCGGGGGUAGAGCACUGUUUCGGCUAGGGGGCCAUCCCGGCUUACCAACCCGAUGCAAACUGCGAAUACCGGAGAAUGUUAUCACGGGAGACACACGGCGGGUGCUAACGUCCGUCGUGAAGAGGGAAACAACCCAGACCGCCAGCUAAGGUCCCAAAGUCAUGGUUAAGUGGGAAACGAUGUGGGAAGGCCCAGACAGCCAGGAUGUUGGCUUAGAAGCAGCCAUCAUUUAAAGAAAGCGUAAUAGCUCACUGGUCGAGUCGGCCUGCGCGGAAGAUGUAACGGGGCUAAACCAUGCACCGAAGCUGCGGCAGCGAACGUAUCACCCAAGACAACUUUGCACAGUUGACGAUUGACGGAGCGGAGCGACGUCAAAGCGUUUCACAACGUCGAGUUGGCUUAGGGAUACGUUCGUUGGGUAGGGGAGCGUUCUGUAAGCCUGCGAAGGUGGCCUGUGAGGGUUGCUGGAGGUAUCAGAAGUGCGAAUGCUGACAUAAGUAACGAUAAAGCGGGUGAAAAGCCCGCUCGCCGGAAGACCAAGGGUUCCUGUCCAACGUUAAUCGGGGCAGGGUGAGUCGACCCCUAAGGCGAGGCCGAAAGGCGUAGUCGAUGGGAAACGGGUUAAUAUUCCCGUACUUGGUGUUACUGCGAAGGGGGGACGGAGAAGGCUAUGUUGGCCGGGCGACGGUUGUCCCGGUUUAAGCGUGUAGGCUGGUUUUCCAGGCAAAUCCGGAAAAUCAAGGCUGAGGCGUGAUGACGAGGCACUACGGUGCUGAAGCAACAAAUGCCCUGCUUCCAGGAAAAGCCUCUAAGCAUCAGGUAACAUCAAAUCGUACCCCAAACCGACACAGGUGGUCAGGUAGAGAAUACCAAGGCGCUUGAGAGAACUCGGGUGAAGGAACUAGGCAAAAUGGUGCCGUAACUUCGGGAGAAGGCACGCUGACACGUAGGUGAAGUGAUUUACUCAUGGAGCUGAAGUCAGUCGAAGAUACCAGCUGGCUGCAACUGUUUAUUAAAAACACAGCACUGUGCAAACACGAAAGUGGACGUAUACGGUGUGACGCCUGCCCGGUGCCGGAAGGUUAAUUGAUGGGGUCAGCGCAAGCGAAGCUCCUGAUCGAAGCCCCGGUAAACGGCGGCCGUAACUAUAACGGUCCUAAGGUAGCGAAAUUCCUUGUCGGGUAAGUUCCGACCUGCACGAAUGGCGUAAUGAUGGCCAGGCUGUCUCCACCCGAGACUCAGUGAAAUUGAACUCGCUGUGAAGAUGCAGUGUACCCGCGGCAAGACGGAAAGACCCCGUGAACCUUUACUAUAGCUUGACACUGAACAUUGAGCCUUGAUGUGUAGGAUAGGUGGGAGGCUUUGAAGUGUGGACGCCAGUCUGCAUGGAGCCAACCUUGAAAUACCACCCUUUAAUGUUUGAUGUUCUAACGUGGACCCGUAAUCCGGGUUGCGGACAGUGUCUGGUGGGUAGUUUGACUGGGGCGGUCUCCUCCUAAAGAGUAACGGAGGAGCACGAAGGUUGGCUAAUCCUGGUCGGACAUCAGGAGGUUAGUGCAAUGGCAUAAGCCAGCUUGACUGCGAGCGUGACGGCGCGAGCAGGUGCGAAAGCAGGUCAUAGUGAUCCGGUGGUUCUGAAUGGAAGGGCCAUCGCUCAACGGAUAAAAGGUACUCCGGGGAUAACAGGCUGAUACCGCCCAAGAGUUCAUAUCGACGGCGGUGUUUGGCACCUCGAUGUCGGCUCAUCACAUCCUGGGGCUGAAGUAGGUCCCAAGGGUAUGGCUGUUCGCCAUUUAAAGUGGUACGCGAGCUGGGUUUAGAACGUCGUGAGACAGUUCGGUCCCUAUCUGCCGUGGGCGCUGGAGAACUGAGGGGGGCUGCUCCUAGUACGAGAGGACCGGAGUGGACGCAUCACUGGUGUUCGGGUUGUCAUGCCAAUGGCACUGCCCGGUAGCUAAAUGCGGAAGAGAUAAGUGCUGAAAGCAUCUAAGCACGAAACUUGCCCCGAGAUGAGUUCUCCCUGAGACUUAGAGUCUCCUGAAGGAACGUUGAAGACGACGACGUUGAUAGGCCGGGUGUGUAAGCGCAGCGAUGCGUUGAGCUAACCGGUACUAAUGAACCGUGAGGCUUAACCUU